GAUAGAUAGCUUGUCCAGCGAAACCAAAACUAAGGAAACGGGCUUGGCAGAAUGAGCGGAGAAAGAAGACAUUGUUGAGCUUGACUCUAGUCUGACUUUGUGAAAUGACUUGUGAGGUGUAGGAUAAGUGGGAGCCGAAAGGCGAAAGUGAAAUACCACUUUUAAUAUUAUUGCACUUAUUCCGUGAAUCGGAAGCGGGGCACUGUCCCUCUUUCUAGACCCAAGGCCCAUCUCGACGGGCCGAUCCGGCCGGAAGACAUUGUCAAGUGGAGAGUUUGGCUGAGGCAACACAUUUGUUAAAAUCUAACGCAUGUGUCCCAAGAUCAGCUCAACGAAAACAAAAAUCUCGUGUGAAACAGUAGGGUAAGAGCUCGUAUGUUUCGGAUUUCCACUACAAAUACGAACCGUGAAAAGCGUGGCCUAACGAUUCUUUAGACCCUUGGAAAACUUACCACAGGGUGGCAGCCAAACGUUCAUAGCACUUGGUUGCAAAAUUGGUCAUCGGACUUGGUUGAAA
rnacentral:ncRNA from 1 species